GCUUGUCUCAAAGAUUAAGCCAUGCAUGUCCAAGUAUAAGCAUUAUACCGUGAAACUGCGAAUGGCUCAUUAAAUCAGUUAUAGUUUAUUUGAUAGUCCCUACUACUUGGAUAACCGUAGUAAUUCUAGAGCUAAUACAUGCACACAGCCCCGACUUCUGGAAGGGGUGUAUUUAUUAGAUCAAACCAACCCUUCGGGUUUUUGGUGAAUCAUAAUAACUGAACGAACCGUAUGCAUUUGCGACGGUGGUUCAUUCAAGUUUCUGCCCUAUCAGCUUUCGAUGGUAGGGUAUUGGCCUACCAUGGCGUUAACGGGUAACGGAGAAUUAGGGUUCGAUUCCGGAGAGGGAGCCUGAGAGAUGGCUACCACAUCCAAGGAAGGCAGCAGG
rnacentral:rRNA from 1 species